rnacentral:rRNA from 1 species
UACGGAGGAUCCAAGCGUUAUCCGGAUUUAUUGGGUUUAAAGGGUGCGUAGGCGGCCAAUUAAGUCAGGGGUGAAAGACGGUAGCUUAACUAUCGCAGUGCCUUUGAUACUGAUUGGCUUGAAUACACUAGAGGUAGGCGGAAUGUGACAAGUAGCGGUGAAAUGCAUAGAUAUGUCACAGAACACCAAUUGCGAAGGCAGCUUACUAUGGUGUGAUUGACGCUGAGGCACGAAAGCGUGGGAUCAAACAGG